rnacentral:rRNA from 1 species
AGGGAUCAUUACCGAGUUUACAACUCCCAAACCCCUGUGAACAUACCACUUGUUGCCUCGGCGGAUCAGCCCGCUCCCGGUAAAACGGGACGGCCCGCCAGAGGACCCCUAAACUCUGUUUCUAUAUGUAACUUCUGAGUAAAACCAUAAAUAAAUCAAAACUUUCAACAACGGAUCUCUUGGUUCUGGCAUCGAUGAAGAACGCAGCAAAAUGCGAUAAGUAAUGUGAAUUGCAGAAUUCAGUGAAUCAUCGAAUCUUUGAACGCACAUUGCGCCCGCCAGUAUUCUGGCGGGCAUGCCUGUUCGAGCGUCAUUUCAACCCUCAAGCACAGCUUGGUGUUGGGACUCGCGUUAAUUCGCGUUCCUCAAAUUGAUUGGCGGUCACGUCGAGCUUCCAUAGCGUAGUAGUAAAACCCUCGUUACUGGUAAUCGUCGCGGCCACGCCGUUAAACCCCAACUUCUGAAUGUUGACCUCGGAUCAGGUAGGAAUACCCGCUGAACUUAAGCAUAUCAAA